rnacentral:sRNA from 2 species
ACGUACUACGUGUACGCUCCGGGGCCUGCGCGCUGUCCGCACCCAACCGGCCUGUGCUUGCUACGCCUACUGAAU